UACGGAGGGUGCAAGCGUUGCUCGGAAUUAUUGGGCGUAAAGGGCAGGUAGGUGGUCUCAUUUGUCUGGGGUGAAAUCCUUGAGCUUAACUCAAGAAGUGCCCCGGAAACGGUGAGACUAGAGUUCUGGAGAGGGUCGUGGAAUUCCCGGUGUAGCGGUGAAAUGCGUAGAGAUCGGGAGGAACACCGAUGGCGAAGGCAGGUCUCUGGGCCACUACUGACGCUGAGAAGCGAAAGCAUGGGGAGCGAACAGG
rnacentral:rRNA from 1 species